rnacentral:rRNA from 1 species
CCAGACUCCUACGGGAGGCAGCAGUGAGGAAUAUUGGUCAAUGGGCGCGAGCCUGAACCAGCCAAGUCGCGUGAGGGAAGACGGUCCUAUGGAUUGUAAACCUCUUUUGUCGGGGAGCAAAGAGAGUCACGUGUGGCUCAUUGAGAGUACCCGAAGAAAAAGCAUCGGCUAACUCCGUGCCAGCAGCCGCGGUAAUACGGAGGAUGCGAGCGUUAUCCGGAUUUAUUGGGUUUAAAGGGUGCGUAGGCGGGACGUUAAGUCAGCGGUAAAAAGGCGGGGCUCAACCCCGGCGAGCCGUUGAAACUGCCGUUCUUGAGUGAGCGAGAAGUAUGCGGAAUGCGUGGUGUAGCGGUGAAAUGCAUAGAUAUCACGCAGAACUCCGAUUGCGAAGGCAGCAUACCGGCGCUCAACUGACGCUGAAGCACGAAGGCGUGGGUAUCGAACAGGAUUAGAUACCCG